UGCAUCGGCCGGGAAUCGAACCCGGCCGUGGCAGGCGAGCAUUCUACCACUGAACCACCGAUGG
rnacentral:tRNA from 1 species